rnacentral:snRNA from 13 species
AAAAAGGGCUUCUGCCGUGCGUGGCACACGGGAAGCGGCGGGGUCCCCUCAGCCGUUUCUCGUGCGGAAUCGACAUCAAGAGAUUUCGGAAGCACAAUUUUUGUCCCCGGGGCCGCUGGUGAUCGCUUGUCCUG